rnacentral:rRNA from 1 species
GUACACUCCUACGGGAGGCAGCAGUGGGGAAUUUUACGCAAUGGGGGAAACCCUGACGUAGCGACACCGCGUGAGCGAAGAAGCCCUUUGGGGUGUAAAGCUCUGUCAGCUGGAACGAAAACAAUGACGGUACCAGCAGAGGAAGCAUCGGCUAACUACGUGCCAGCAGCCGCAGUAAGACGUAGGAUGCGAGCGUUGUCCGGAUUUAUUGGGCGUAAAGAGUUCGUAGGUGGUUUGUUAAGUUUGGUGUUAAAGAUCGGGGCUCAACCCUGGGACUGCACUGAAUACUGGCAGACUCGAGUGUGGUAGAGGCUAGUGGAAUUCCCAGUGUAGCGGUGAAAUGCGUAGAUAUUGGGAAGAACACCGGUGGCGUAGGCGACUAGCUGGGCCAUAACUGACGCUGAGGAACGAAAGCCAGGGGAGCGAAUGGGAUUAGAAACCCUAGUAGUCCC